AGAGUUUGAUCCUGGCUCAGGAUGAACGCUGGCGGCGUGCCUAAUACAUGCAAGUCGAACGAGGUGCUUUUUGUAGCAAUACGGAGAGUAUCCUAGUGGCGAACGGGUGAGUAACGCGUUGGUGACCUACCCCAAAGUGUGGGAUAACAGUCCGAAAGGAUUGCUAAUACCGCAUGUGGUCUUCGGAUUUAGAAACUGAUGACUAAAGGAGUAAUCCGCUUUGGGAGGGACCUGCGUCCCAUCAGCUAGUUGGUGAGGUAACGGCCCACCAAGGCGACGACGGGUAGGGGACCUGAGAGGGUGGCCCCCCACAAUGGAACUGAAACACGGUCCAUACACCUACGGGUGGCAGCAGUAGGGAAUAUUGCACAAUGGGCGAAAGCCUGAUGCAGCAACGCCGCGUGUGCGAUGAAGGCCUUCGGGUCGUAAAGCACUUUUCUGGGAGAUGAGAAAGGACAGUAUCUCAGGAAUAAGUCUCGGCUAACUACGUGCCAGCAGCCGCGGUAAAACGUAGGAGGCAAGCGUUAUCCGGAUUUACUGGGCGUAAAGCGCGUGCAGGCGGUUUGGAAAGUUGGAUGUGAAAGCUCCUGGCUUAACUGGGAGAGGUCGUUCAAAACUACCAGACUAGAGAAUGGGAGAGGGAAGUGGAAUUCCGGGUGUAGUGGUGAAAUGCGUAGAUAUCCGGAGGAACACCAGUGGCGAAAGCGGCCUCCUGGCCCAUUUCUGACGCUCAGACGCGAAAGCUAGGGUAGCAAACGGGAUUAGAGACCCCGGUAGUCCUAGCCGUAAACGAUGUGAACUUGG
rnacentral:rRNA from 1 species